rnacentral:rRNA from 1 species
GCCUGCAUGAAGUCGGAAUUGCUAGUAAUCGUAGGUCAGCAUACUACGGUGAAUACGUUCCCGGGCCUUGUACACACCGCCCGUCAAACCAUGAGAGUUGGCAACACCCGAAGUCGGUAGUCUAACCGCAAGGAGGACGCCGCCGAAGGUGGGGUUGAUGAUUAGGGUUAAGUCGUAACAAGGUAAC